rnacentral:rRNA from 1 species
UUGACCUCGGAUCAGGUAGGGAUACCCGCUGAACUUAAGCAUAUCAAUAGCCGGGAGGAA